rnacentral:lncRNA from 1 species
UUUUUGUUCACUUGUGUUUUUAGCUCACCUGGCCGAAAGGCCAAGUGAGCUUUUCUCAUCACUUGGCGUCCGUCGUCCGUCGUCGUCCUGCGUUAACUUUUACAAAAAUCUUCUCCUCUGAAACUACUGGGCCAAAUUUAACCAAACUUGGCCACAAUCAUCAUUGGGGUAUCUAGUUUAAAAAAUGUGUCCGGUGACCCGGCCAACCAACCAAGAUGGCCGCCAUGGCUAAAAAUAGAACAUAGGGGUAAAAUGCAGUUUUUGGCUUAUAACUCAAAAACCAAAACAUUUAGAGCAAAUCUGACAGGGAUAAUAUUGUUCAUCAGGUCAAGAUCUAUCUGCCCUGAAAUUUUCAGAUGAAUCAGACAUUCCGUUGUUGGGUUGCUGCCCCUGAAAUAGUAAUUUUAAGGAAAUUUUGCUGUUUUUGGUUAUUAUCUUGAAUAUUAUUAUAGAUAGAGAUAAACUGUAAACAGCAAUAAUGUUCAGCAAAGUAAGAUUUACAAAUAAGUCAAAAAAUGACCGAAAUGGUCAGUUGACCCCUUUAGGAGUUAUUGCCCUUUAUAGUCAAUUUUUAACCAUUUUUCGUAAAUCUUAGUAAUCUAUUACAAA